ensembl:scaRNA Gm25395 predicted gene, 25395
GGUCAGUGAUGAUUGGUAAAAGGUCUGAUUGCACUGAAUGUCACAGCCCCUUCCUUGCCCUCGACUCCCAGCAGCCCAUUUUUUUCCUAGCACAUUGAAGUUAUGUGCAUGGGAUAAUGGGGCAGCUGAUAAUUUAGGAUUCUGCCAGUGUGUGUUCCCGAGAGUGAACGGUUCACAGCUGACUGCUAUCCAACAGAACCUGUGAUGCAGGAGUCUUGAUGAGUGGCGGAUGGGUGUGACAGUGCAUGAUCUCAAGUUUUCAAUCUGAGACC